CCUACGGGAGGCAGCAGUGGGGAAUAUUGCACAAUGGGGGAAACCCUGAUGCCGCGACGCCGCGUGAGCGAUGACGUAUUUCGGUAUGUACAGCUCUAUCAGCAGGGAAGAAAAUGACGGUACCUGAAGAAGAAGCCCCGGCUAACUACGUGCCAGCAGCCGCGGUAAUACGUAGGGGGCAAGCGUUAUCCGGAUUUACUGGGUGUAAAGGGGGCGCAGACGGCGAUGCAGGCCAGGAGUGAAAGCCCGGGGCCAAACCCCGGGACUGCUCUUGUAACUGCGUGGCUGGAGUGCAGGAGGGGCAGGCGGAAUGCCGGGUGUAGCGGUGAAAUGCGUAGAUAUCAGGAGGAACACCGGUGGCGAAGGCGGCCUGCUGGACUGCAACUGACGUUGAGGCCCGAAAGCGUGGGGAGCAAACAGGAUUAGAUACCCCUGUAGUC
rnacentral:rRNA from 1 species